rnacentral:rRNA from 1 species
GAUGAACGCUAGCGGCAGGCCUAACACAUGCAAGUCGAGGGGCAGCACAGAAACAGCAAUGUUUUGGUGGCGACCGGCGGACGGGUGCGUAACGCGUAUGCAACCUACCUUUAACAGGGGGAUAACGGAGAGAAAUUUCCACUAAUACCCCAUAACAUCGAUCAAGGCAUCUUGAUUGGUUGAAAACUCCGGUGGUUAAAGAUGGGCAUGCGUUGUAUUAGGUAGUUGGUGAGGUAAUGGCUCACCAAGCCUACGAUACAUAGGGGGACUGAGAGGUGAGCCCCCCACACUGGUACUGGGACAGGGACCAGACUCCUAGGGGAGGCAGCAGUGAGGAAUAUUGGUCAAUGGGGGCAACCCUUAACCAGCCAUGCCGCGUGCAGGAAGACGGCUCUAUGAGUUGUAAACUGCUUUUAAACAGGGAUAAAGCACAGUAUGUAUACUGUGUUGAAGGUACUGUAAGAAUAAGGAUCGGCUAACUCCGUGCCAGCCGCCGCGGUAA